rnacentral:rRNA from 1 species
UACGUAGGUGGCAAGCGUUGUCCGGAUUUACUGGGCGUAAAGAGCGCGCAGGCGGUCGUUCAAGUCGCGUGUGAAAGCCCCCGGCUCAACUGGGGAGGGUCACUCGAUACUGAUCGACUUGAAGGCAGGAGGGGGAAGCGGAAUUCUCGGUGUAGUGGUGAAAUGCGUAGAUAUCGGGAGGAACACCAGUGGCGAAGGCGGCUUCCUGGCCUGUUCUUGACGCUGAGGCGCGAAAGCUAGGGGAGCAAACGGG